rnacentral:tmRNA from 1 species
GGGGGCGUACUGGUUAUCGACCAGUUGAAUACGUUCUCGAUUGCAUGCCGAGGAUGGUUCGCUCCCCUCGUAAAACCACCGAACCAAAAACAUAACUGCCAACCAAGAAUUGGCCCUCGCGGCAUAAUCCCGCGACGUCUGCCCCUGGAUAUCUGCUAAGGGGUGCAGGCGCCGAAAGCAGGUUAGGAUGGAAGCCGGAGACGGCGCGGCUCUCAACCGAAAUUUUUUCAGCCGACUAGGUGAACGGAUUCGCGUCAGGCCGCUAUCCCGGAAUCAACAAUUUUGCCUGACUAAGCAUGUAGAGGUCUUGAAUAGGUUUAAUUGGGACGGGGGUUCGACUCCCCCCGCCUCCACCA